UACGUAGGGUGCAAGCGUUGUCCGGAAUUAUUGGGCGUAAAGAGCUCGUAGGCGGUCUGUCGCGUCGGCUGUGAAAACCCGAGGCUCAACCUCGGGCCUGCAGUCGAUACGGGCAAACUAGAGUACUGCAGGGGAGACUGGAAUUCCUGGUGUAGCGGUGAAAUGCGCAGAUAUCAGGAGGAACACCGGUGGCGAAGGCGGUUCUCUGGGCAUGAUCUGACGCUGAGGAGCGAAAGUGUGGGGAGCGAACAGG
rnacentral:rRNA from 1 species